UACGGAGGAUCCAAGCGUUAUCCGGAUUUAUUGGGUUUAAAGGGUGCGUAGGCGGGAGAUUAAGUCAGUGGUGAAAGUUUGCAGCUCAACUGUAAAAUUGCCAUUGAAACUGAUUUUCUUGAGUGCAAAUGAGGUAGGCGGAAUGUGUUGUGUAGCGGUGAAAUGCUUAGAUAUAACACAGAACCCCGAUUGCGAAGGCAGCUUACUGGGAUGCAACUGACGCUGAGGCACGAAAGCGUGGGGAUCAAACAGG
rnacentral:rRNA from 1 species